rnacentral:tRNA from 1 species
AGGAUUGUAGCUCAGUUGGUAGAGCAUUCGACUUGCAUGUGAGAGGCACUAGGUUCAAUCCUC